rnacentral:misc_RNA from 1 species
AACCUUAUGGACCUGCGGGCGUAUACCUGCGGAAGGAUCAUUACCGAGUUAUACAACUCAUCAACCCCUGUGAACUUACCUACAACGUCGCUUCGGCGGGAACAGACGGCCCCGUAAAACGGGCCGCCCCCGCCAGAGGACCCCUAACUCUGUUUUUAUAAUGUUUUUCUGAGUAAACAAGCAAAUAAAUUAAAACUUUCAACAAUGGAUCU